rnacentral:lncRNA from 1 species
UGGAGUAACCUGGAAAUGGAUGGGAGCCAUCGCCUGGGGACUCCUCCCAACCAGAUUCCCAGAGCCAUGUCUGGGAUAUCCAUAGUGAUAAGUACGCAUUCCCAAAAGUCAGUUCACAGCUGAUCAAGUCUCUCCUCGCCACAUCUCCUUUCUCCCACUCACUUCAUCUUUUUGAAAACGCACCAGAGUCCUACCGUUCUCCUUCCUGUCACUUCACUGUGUAGAACAUUUCUUUCCCAGAGUGCUUUAGUUGUUUGCUUCUUUGACUCACACAGUUCUGAGUGUGACCCGCAGGAGUUGUUCUGAGAAUCUGUGGUGAGUCUCAGGGACCACUUGUUCCUAUGUGGCUUCUCAUCACCUCUGAUAUUGGACCUGGUGCCUGUAGGACUCUAAUCAAUAGCCAUAAUAAAUUAAUAAUAGUGACAUAAUAAAUUAAAGCAGAAUUAACCCAGGCCCAGUCUCAGGAAGAUGUCCGCAUCUCUGCCAAGGUGGGGUCUUUGUAGCCCUGUGAGGCCAGCCUAUGCCCAGAAUCUUGUGACUGAGGGUGGUCACAGUGCUUUCUGCUUUAGGAGAAGCUGAAGCCAGGGUACCUGGAGCAACUGCCUGGAAUGAUGCGGCUUUACUCCGAGUUCCUGGGCAAGCGGCCAUGGUUUGCAGGGGACAAGAUCACCUUUGUGGAUUUCAUUGCUUACGAUGUUCUUGAGAGGAACCAAGUGUUUGAGGCCACGUGCCUGGACGCGUUCCCAA